ensembl:snRNA
GCGUUUUAUGAAAGGAGAGAAGGUUAGCAUUCCCCUUGACAAGGAUGAAAGAGGCCCUCAGGCCUGACAACAUGCAUACAAUUAAGGCACUGCCACCUAUUUCGUGGCAUCUCACCAACGUUUUUG